CCUCAGUCCUCCGGGUCCCUCCGGUGAGAGGCGGGCAGGCUCGGGUUCCGCCCCCUCCCAGGGCGGCAGUUCACAGCAUCGGCCGGCAGAGGGCAGCAGAGGCCAGCUCGUGGCAGACCAAGCCCAGGGCCUAGCGCAGAAGCGGGUCCUGGGCCUGAGUCCCGCUGGCUUCCCGGGUGCAGGCUCCACCAGGGAGAAGCAGCGGCCCUUCCUCUCUCUGGCUUGCCCUGGGGAGAGGGGCGAGAGGAGGCAAUUCCGAAAGCCCCUCAUUGUGCGGAGUGGCUUUUUCUUUCUUUUCUGCAUCACAUGCACUGAAUGCCAUUUUUCAAAGUGCUCCCAGAGGGGCGGGCAGCCAGGUGAUUUCCCAGAAGCCGGAGGAAGAGCCACAGGACGCAAGGCCCACAUAGCUCAGGGGACUUCAGGGAGGGCCACACCACUGCUGCUUACAGGAACUCGGAGCUUCCUGCCUUGGCAGUCAUCCGGGGAGAAUUGUUACAGCACGGGGCCGCUCCUGUGGUGCCUCUACCUGCGGUUUGUGUCCAGAGCUGCCUUCGGAUGGCUUUCAUAUUCUUUAUAUGUAACACCGAAACUUUGAAAACCAACUCGAGGCCCAAGAAUUCGAAGAGGGAAAUUCAUCUCAUAAAUUGCAAUGCCUUAUCUGAUCUCUCCUUGGGAGCCUCCCUCCGCUCGCUCUGUGGGACUGAAGGGCUGGAGGCCUGUGCCAGUGUUAGCAAAACAUUUGGAGUCACCGAGCCUGCGACGAGAGUGGCACUGGAGCACUGGAGGUCGCAGUGCUGAGCAGGCUCUGCCUGCCUCGGCUCCCUGACCCUCAGCCAGUGUCCUCGGCUGUGAAGCAGAGGACAGACAGCCAUGGCAUGCUGUGAAUGCCCGACGUGCACCGUUGUAAUCUGUGCAGAGGCAGCAGUGAUGCCCAAGGUGGGUAUGGCAGUGUCACAGAAGGGACACGCAGACCCACGUACAUGCCUGGUGGGGGGUGGCGCGCUGGGCCACGGAGGGCCUGCUUAGCACUGCCCCCGCCCCUGGAUCUCGUGCCCCGUCCAGUCUCAGAGCCUGACGCCCAGUGAGCUGAACUCAGAGCACUCCCGGCCUUCUCCUCCUCGUCUUCCUGCAGCAGUGGUGCCGAAUCUACCAGACGACUCGGUCUGUCUCCACUGUGCCCUGGCUCUGGAUAAACCACGAAGGAGAGGGCACGGGGGACAGGAGGGACAGCAGGAGAGGCAAGGACCUCUGCAGGGAAUCUGAGUCCCUUAAGUACGUCAUCCCACAGAGAAAAGCCACCUGCAGUCUAUUCCAAGGGCUUUCAAAAUUACUUUAGAAGUGCAAGCAUUUACAGAAGCGGUGGCCCUGCUGAGCACCAAGCGACACAGCGGAGCAGGGCUCCUAACUAGCACCAUGGAACUGGGGAGCCAGACGGAAGAAUCCAGGCGAAAACAACUGCAGAAAAGAGGGUUGAGGGGCCCCGAGCAACUCUCCCUAAGACAGGCGACAGCAUCAUCGCCCCGAGCUGUUUCCGUACAGCCUGUUACCAUCAGCUCUGAAAAUCAGCCCAUUUUAAUACUGUAUGAGCUGAAAUCCUAUGUGCUCCAAAACAAGGUAACAGAGCCUGGAUCAAAGGACUUCGGACCCAGAGUAAUCUACCCACCUCCACUCGGCAGUUGAGUGACUUUUUCCUGGAAGAUAAGAGAUUUCCAACACGUAGGUGAAGUUUUUAUCUGUCGGUCUGGGGUCAGAACAGUAAAUCAUUAUAAUCUUUAAAAGUGAAGCUCAUAUACAUUUGUAAGUUAAUUGGAGUUGGAAAGAGUGUUCUCGAGUUUUAGGCACUCGGUCAUCAGAGGAGCCUUAUAUUGAGAGAGCUGAGUACCGAUAGCCUCAUUCGUCAAGAAACUUUUGCCAGGCAGCAUGGCACACGCUUGUAAUCCCAGCACCGAGGGAGGCAGAGGCAGGAGGAUCGGAAGUCCCAGCCCAUCUGAGCAACUUAGGGAGAUCCUGUCCCAAGAUAAAAAAUAAAAAGGAGGACUGCAGGGGUGUAGUUUAGUGGUGGGUGCCCGGAGCUCUACACUGAGCACCACGCACAGACACACGCCUGCGCACAAGCAGAAAGCGUCUGACGAGGGAGGGGCGCAUGCCCUGACUGGGGCCUGUUCAGCUCUUAGCCCUAUGGGCCGAGCCAGUUUUCAUGUCUCCCGUGGGUUUGCUGUAGUGCUGGGGUCUCUCUCAUGGGUCCGCGUCGGUCAGAUACACACACACACACACACACACACACACACACACACACGUAUAAGGAAAAAGAUUUACCGAAGGAACCAUCUCCACGGCUUGGGGUCUGGAGAGUCUGAGAUUUGCAGGUGACUCCGAGCUGGAGACCAGGGAGACGCUGCAUGCGGGGCAUUUUCUCUGCUCAGGCCUACAGCGGCCUGGGAGAGGCCCCGCCCACUAGGAAAGGCCACCUGCUUUAUUCAAAGCCGUCCGUCCGGUAACACCCUGAGGGACAUGCCAAGAAAAACUGUGAGCAAGUACACGUGCUGGGGGCCAGCCAGGCAACCCGAGAACCAACCGUCCCAGCACUGCCACCCUCCUGGGCUGCACUGGCUCCUGGUGAAACCUAGCUGUGGGCUCGUGUGGCUGGAGUGUCCCCUGGGUGUGUCCUAACCAGCCCUCUUUUCUGGGGGAGCCUCUGCUUUGAACCCCUUGUCCUGGUGGGACCUGGAUGUUUCAGGAAAGUCUGAAGGUUGGGGAACUCUGGUGCUUGCUGAGCACCUGAGGGGCAGAACUGGGUCCCGGUCGGAGAUAAAGU
ensembl:lncRNA